UUUCAUAUCAGACGAAGAAGGGGAUCAGCAUCAAACGUCGUAGUCUUUCUAUAACUAUGCGACUAGGGAUGGAUGGAUCAUCACCAUUUCAGUACUUAUGGGAAUCAAAGUCUUUGGGUUCUGGGGGGAGUAUGGUCGCAGACUGAAACUUAAGAAUUGACGGAAGGGCACCAGGAGGAGUGGAGCUGCGGCUUAUUUGACUCAACACGGGGAAACUUACCAGGUACAAGACAUAGUAAGGAUUGACAAGAUUGAUAGCUCUUUCUUGAUCUCUGGGUGGUGGUGCAUGCCCGUUCUUAGUUGGUGGAGUGAUUUGUCUGGUUAAUUCCGAUAACGAACGAGACCUUAACCUGCUAACUAGAUAUUUUCAUUUUAUGAAUAUAUCUUCUUAGAGGGACUAUAUGCUUUAAAUAAAAGAAAAGUAUAAGGCGAUAACAGGUCUGUGAUGCCCUUAUAUGUCCUGGGCUGCACGCGUGCUACACUGAUAUAUACAACAAGUGCCUAGCUAGAUAUAGUAUGGCAAUCUCGAAUAUAUAUCGUGAUGGGGAUAGAUCUUUGCAAUUAUAGAUCUUGAACGAGGAAUUCCUAGUAAGUGCAAGUCAUCAUCUUGCAUUGAUUAUGUCCCUGCCCGUAGAGAGGCACCACCCGUCGCUCCUACCGAUACCGGGUGAUCCGGUGAACCUGUUGGACCCUUUGGGAAAAAUAAGUAAAUCAUAUCGCCUAGAGGAAGGAGAAGUCGAACAAUAACGGAUCCGGAUUGAUCGCAGAGGCUGCAUGCA
rnacentral:rRNA from 1 species